AAGUCGAACGAGGUCCGGAGCUUGCUCCGGGUGCCUAGUGGCGGACGGGUGAGUAACGCGUGGGAACCUGCCCUAGAGUGGGGAACAACCUUUGGAAACGAAGGCUAAUACCGCAUACGCUCUGAGGAGGAAAGGCUUCGGCCGCUCUUGGAUGGUCCCGCGUCUGAUUAGCUUGUUGGUGGGGUAACGGCCUACCAAGGCGACGAUCAGUAGCCGGUCUGAGAGGAUGAUCAGCCACACUGGGACUGAGACACGGCCCAGACUCCUACGGGAGGCAGCAGUGGGGAAUAUUGGACAAUGGGGGAAACCCUGAUCCAGCAAUGCCGCGUGAGUGAAGAAGGCCUUAGGGUUGUAAAACUCUUUCACUGAUGAAGAUGAUGACGGUAAUCAGAGAAGAAGCCCCGGCUAACUCCGUGCCAGCAGCCGCGGUAAU
rnacentral:rRNA from 1 species